rnacentral:rRNA from 1 species
GACGAACGCUGGCGGCGUGCCUAAUACAUGCAAGUCGAACGCAGUGGGGACGGGUGAGUAACACGUGGGUAACCUCCCAUCAGAGGGGAUAACACUUGGAAACAGGUGCUAAACCGAUAUUGAUGUAUGGACCCGGUGUGCAUUAGCUAGUUGGCGAGGUAACGGCUCACCAAGGCCACGAUGCAUAACCGGCCUGAGAUGAUGAUCGGCAACACUGGGACUGAGACACGGCCCAGACUCCUACGGGAGGCAGCAGUAGGGAAUCUUCCGCAAUGGACGAAAGUCUGACAGAGCAACGCCGCGUGAGUGAAGAAGGUUUUCGGAUCGUAAAGCUCUGUUGUUAGAGAGGCGGUAUCUGACCAGAAAGCCACGGCUAACUACGUGCCAGCAGCCGCGGUAAUUC